rnacentral:lncRNA from 1 species
AAAUUGAUGAAUUAUAACAGAUCUAGGUAGAAUUUAUCCACCCCCAUCCCUACCCCCUUUUUGGGUAGAUAACAGAAAUGUGCAAUUCACUGUACUAUGGAGACUGGAAGGUCUACUACAUUUAUUGCUGUGCCAGUUCUCCUUAUAAGUUGUUGUUGCUGCUUUUGUUUUAUUUAUUCUGUCUAUGGGUGUGUUUGUUUUCUGUUUGUUUUUCUGUCUUUCUAGGUAGCCUUAGCUGGCCUGAUACUUGCUAUGUAAUCCAAAUUGGCUUUGAACUCCUAGCAAUCCUCCUGAGUUAACUCUCCGUGUGCUGGGAUUACAGGCUCUGACAAAAUGCCUGGGAGAAACAACUUAAGAGAAAAGGGUCUAUUUUGGCUCAUGUCAAAGGAUCCCAACUACGAUGGUGAGGCAGAUAUUGUGGUAGAAGUGGCUGAGUUAAGUUCUUAGUCUGUGUUGAUGUGAGUACCAAGCAGAUGGUCACUUCAUGAGGAGAAAACAGGGAGCUAGACUGGAUCCAGCGGUAUGUAUGGGAAGCUGCUUCUGUUUGCAAGGCCACAUAUUCCUAGUUCACAGCCUCAUACAACAGUGCCACAAGCUGGUGAGUUUUCAAAUACGUGCACUCCCAGGAACAUAAUAUAUGGAAAUAAUCUUGCAUCUCCUCACUGGUAAUCUUUGUCCGGGUGAACUGGAAGGGUCCUUAGAGUAGGAGUGAGCUGGAUUGCUAAACAGAGUUCCAUUAUUCUCCUAUCAGAUCAAUAAAUUUUCACUUGUUCUGAGGUACUAUUUAUGGAUUAGUAAAAUACCCACAAUAACAUCUACAGACAGAAAGGUAUAGGCCUCUAGUUCCCAUUCUUGACCUGAAUCCCUUUUCUAGUUGGGAAUUUCUUGCUUCUCUUUUUAUUUUUUUUUCACCUGAUCAAGUUACAAGAAUUAGAUGAUAUAUAUAGAUACACAUACAUACAUACAUAUAUAUAUUAGAUAUAAUUCGCCUAUAUUUCAGCUAGAAGAUAACUUUUGGAGAAAAACAAUUUUUUUUCUGCUUAGUUGUGAGAAAAUGCCAGCAACAUAAAUUUCAGACCUCACAAAUAAGAACCAAUUUUUCUUUCAAUAGAAAUGAGCGGAGUGUUCGAGUAGAGAAUUGUCACUAUCAAUACUUGCCCAAAAGACUGAAUGGUCAUUAUCUAUUCCCAAGUUGUGAUAGAUAUGAAACAAGCAAUACCAUAAUGUUUUGCUUUCCUCCCUCUCACAGGGAAGGAGCAAGGGGCUUUGAGGGAGCCUUCUGAGAGGAGGAAGACCAUACUUAAUGCUAAUAACACGGGGAAGACGGAGACUGGGGAUUGCAGUACAGAGUUUUGAGUUUCCAAAAAAUUUUUGAUAAUGAUCCUGUUCUAGGGAUUUGAUGAGCGACAAACAUAAAAAUUUUAAAGUGAUCCAGAAACCUUUAAAACGAGAUCUAUCAUAUGACAAAUGCUCAUAAAUAGCAUGAGGAUUAGAUAAAAGAGGUUACUGACUUCCUCAAGGUGCCCAGAAAAUAACUGACAGCAUCCCAAGAACACAGUCCUUACUGUCCAGUACAAGCUCCUCUUCACUGUCCCAAGCCACACAUGUACUCUGAGCACACGUGUUAAUGAGACUCGUAUUGUGUAGUAAUUCUACUCUGAAGUUUGUUGCUUUGGCCUAUGGAUAGAUUGAGAACCUUCGAAGCAAUUAGCACCAAUGAUUGUUAGAAUGAGAGGAGCAAGGUUAGUGAUCUGCUCUAAAGAAGCAAGUGGCACCAUGCUGUGUGAGCUGACCAUUAGUCAGCAUCACUUUAACCCAGGAAAGCCUGCUGCUGAAGUGGCCUAAGGUGAUGAAUCACAAGGAGCAUCUUGCUCUUGACUUGGCUGCCAUUAAAGUGAUGCCAAGCACCACAUAACCAACUGAAAGGCGUCAAGGGGUUGGCAAGCCACUUGCACAACAGAGUUUGAUGUUAAGCAUCUGGGAGUUUCCAGCAUAUGAAGGAUACAUGGGGGUUCCGAAAUUACCUACAUCACUGAGCACUGUACAGCUGUCACUUAAUAUUUAAACUGGAUGAGAAAUCACAAAAACUCUGGUUUCUCAAAAGCAGAACUACAAGCUGUCAAAGUUGUUGGGUCCUUGGAGGCUAUCCCAACUUAAUUACUUAUUUCACAAAUGGAGAAACGUGCCAUUAUUCAUGUGGGCAGAAGAAAGAAUACGGAGCUAGAAUCCUUCCUGGGUAUCUUGUUUUAGGGGAUUAUAGACAUAGACUCUUAAGGAACACCAUCUGUGCAAGAGGCACAGCGCACUGACUAAAUGCAUGCUGAGAGUCUCCUGGUUAAAUCCACCCUCUUCCUGUUUCACUUCACAUGCAGAUGCUGGAAAGGGUAGGGACCUAAUGAGAGGCAGCAGUCAGCCCCUCCCAGCUGUUCUUGCUCUAACCACAUCCUGGUCAGGUGCCAUUAUUCCCUGGCUCCCCUGACUUAUUCUUCACACUGUCCUCACUGAUGAUGGCUUUCCUAAAGCACUGUUGCCCUUCCAAAAACACUCCAACAAGGCAAUUUAUAGCUGACCUAUGUUUUUCUAAUAAUGUUUUCUCUCCUCUCUUCAUCCUGGAAAUCCACGUGUCUCAGUUGCUCUCAAUCACUGCCACGAGUCUGGUGAUGCGCUAAGCUCGGGGCAGGAUCUCAAGGGCUUUGAGGUAAAUAAGGUACCCUCUGUGGGCUCUGUUUCAAUUAGAUGCUAGAGCAAUUGUCAUCAUUUUAGAGAACAAAGAUACUGUGAUCGAAAACCGUGAAGGCUGCUGUCUAUGUCAUGCUUGUCCCUAGUUUACAUGCAUUUUCCAGAUAACCAAAUCCAAUAAGCCCUGAGUGCACCCUGAUCCCCUCUCCACUCCCGUGUCAGCUCCAAAUGGAUGGAAGAUGACAGGAAGGAACUAGCUGGGACACAGAGCAAAACUUCUAGAGUUAAUGAGACAGUAACUCUCAUCUUAGUUCCUGAUGA